GGGUUUUUUGUUUGGCUGAACUGGGUGUGAGAACACAAAGGAAGACAGAGCUUAAAGACAGGAAGCCAAAGGGCAGGUAUUUCAGGUGUCUGAUAUGCUGAGAAAUAGACUAGAGUUAAUGUGAUGUUCAGACACGGUCUACAUCUUCAUACAUUUUUACAGUUGAUUCUCAAUUUUUGUUUAACUUCUGGAAUGGGUGUGUGCAGCGUUUAGGGCUGAUGGUGGUGUAGUCGUUGGUGUUGUGAUAGGAACAGAGGAGUCCGUUCCCACAGAGGCUGAAGCUGACAUCAUAAACACAUACAAAGUACCCAGGGCGGGGUGCGGAUGGGGCGGGCCAACCAGUAAUGUGGGACUUGAGGGGCUUCGUCUUUGUUUUGAUUGGUUUGACGCGGUGUGGUGGACACACCUGUAAGUGCCAGAAGCAACAGACAUUGGCUGCGACCUGAAAAUUACACCUGUGGGGGGAGGAGGGGGCAGACUACAUGUAAGCCAAGCCCUUACAAACUCUGUCUCUCUUCCUGAGGAGCUUAACCAGAUCACAACGACACCUCCAGCUCCCGAAAAACUUUUAGCCGACAAUGUCCAGCGACUUCAAACCUGUUGAUACUGUUUUGGGGUUAGUUCUUACCUGCCGGCCCGGUGCCUCUCAUCAAGCCAGCCUGAGAUUCACCUACCAUGGAGAGACGACUUCUUCUUCUGCAGAAUGUCAUGGAGGUCGAUUGUCCUUCAGCGGGAGGAAUGGAAGAGGAAGACUAGCUUUCAAAGCAGCUCAGCCAGCACACAAUGAUGUCUCUUGUCUUGGGUUUCUGGCUACAUGACCACAACUGGGAAGGACUCGAGGGCCUGCAGCAGUGGUUUCUAAUGCUGAUGAUUAACUAAAUAGAGUCUGGGAGAGCAGGUCUGCUUGGCUUUCUCAUUUCAUGAGGCCUGACUGACUGAGAGGAAGACGAAGAGUUCUCAGGCACUGACUGGAAAUUCAAGAUCUUUUUCUCUUUUUUUCUACCCCUCCCUCUUUACUUGGUUUUGUUACAUUCUUUCCUUGGGGUCCCUUUCACAACGGUAAGGUUACAGGUGCAUGCAUUCUCCAUUUUCAUUCUCCACUCCCUUUCCCGUGGCUUUCCUCUCUCGUGUUCAGUCUCUCUCUCCUUUUCUCCCUCCCCCUCUCCAUCACAGUCUUCCUUUUCACUCACCGGCAGGAUAGCAAACUUCUUGCUUGCUAACUCAAUAUUGUUUAAUUUAUAAGUUGAUACUGUUUCCAGUUCCAGGUUAAGCAAAAACUAGAAUGUUGUUUCAAUAGAUCUUGAAUUUGAAAGGACAAAAGAUAAAUAUAUUUUGUCACGCAUUUAAAUGUAUUCAAAUGUUGUAAUGUAAACGUUAGCACAGUGUGGUAUCAAAUAGAGGAACAAUUAUCCCUGUUUACUGAUACAUAGUCUAUACAGAAACUGUAUGUAACUAUUUAUGAAAGUAAGUAUAAAAGUUCAGCAGGUAUGUAAGGUGUUGCCACCUUACAGAAGUCGACCUACUUAGCAAUUGAAUGACACUUGAAAUUGAAGAAUUAGUGAGAUGUUUUCACACUCUGUACCUGUGAAUGGCACACGUUAUUCAGUAAAUGAGAGCAGUCUGAAUGACCUUCUGCACACACUGUGUAGACUUAGGUCAGCAUUCCUUCAGCCUUUCAUCAUACUACAAACACAAAGGUAGGAAGGUUCUCAGAAAGUCCCUACUCAAAAUAACUUAAAUUCUCGUAAUGCGUUGGUAGGUUUCAUAAAAUGUCUGUUGACAACAUGUAAAAUGACCUUACAUCUGUAUGUGUGCAGGUACAGUGUGUUGUAAAGAUAAAUUGAUGAGCAUCUUCCAGGACAUGACGUGUAUCAGGGACAACACCCUGAGGCCUAGUUGUUCGGGCAUUGUGGCAUUACGGGCUUGGUUUGUAAAGAACCAGUGUUUGAAAUUAGUAACUGCCAUCCAUUGUGAGAAAAUCAGCCCUCCAAGCUUUGCCGUGCCACAGAAUCAGACCAGUCAGAACAGGUUUGGGCAAUCAUUAACAGCCACUGUGGCCCACUCUUCUGUGACAGCCACGCAAAAUUACAGCCCCUACUGAAAUAAGCGUCCCUGCGAUCAGUAUACUGCAUGUAGGGGGGAUUUUAUUGUUUCCUCUUAAAAGUCCAUUAAUUUUCCAUUUUAUGAUCACAUUGUUUGUGUACAUUUGAGGUGGCAAAACCUGGUUUGAUUAGUUGUAGUGGGAUUGUACUACAUAUGGAUUCAUGCUCAUGAAACUUUAAAGUUGCAUUCAUGAACUUUUUUCUUUGUCUUAGAUGUACAUGCUGUACUAAAGGAGAGAUUCUUUCUUUAUUUAACAGGUCAGGCAGAUCAUUUAUAUAAUCUGUCAACAGUGGUGAACAGUUGAGCACCCCCAUCUUUUUAAACAGAGGAAUGUUCCUGAAGCCUAGUGUCUAUCUUUGGGAGGGGCUUAUUUAUCCACAACCCUGAAUAGCUAAGGGUUCACAUUCAUCAAGUGUUCUUUCAUACAUCAAAUGUCCCUUCCUAGGUAAAUGAGAAGAUUGAUACAAGCCUUUCAUGAGCAACUUUGAACCAUGAAGUCAGCAGUUAGCAGCCUAUUUAGUUAGGUCCUGACAAAGUUUUAUCAAAAGUCACAUUCACGUUUGGAUGAUUAUCACCAUCUUACGAGGCAGCAUUGGAUUUCCUUACUCUCUCUAAUACUGCCUGGUAAUGAUGAUGAUAUACAUCUGCCAACUGCAAGUACGUAUGAGCUUGAAGUUAAGUAAUUAUGCCAUGUUGAUCAAUCUGCACAGUGGAAUCCAGUUCCGUCAGAAAUGGUACUUGGGACCCAUCUUACCUGACAGUGCUGGAUUGUACAACUGUGUUCUAACACUGUCUGGUAACGAUGUUUCCUGUGUCACCCACAUACCUCAACACAACUGUCUGGACCUGAAAUGAUGAUUUUCUUCCUUUGAUUUUAGGGGGGACUAAAUUAAAGAUCGGGAUUAAUCAAUCCAUCUCAUUUUUAAGAGGGCUAGGAUUCUGAUAGGAGUAUAUUUUUGGCUUAAAGCAUGUCGCUUUCUGUAGAGCUGAGUCAUGAUAAGCUUCCAGGAAACAGGGAGAAAAGAUUUUUAGUAUGAUUAACUUGUACAAUCCCCUAAUGGUGCCAGUCGCUAGUAGACAGGAAGCUGUUAAAGAGACAAUUACAUAUUUUGCAACAGUAGAUCAUUCAAUCAGAAAAUACUUAAACAAAUAGAAAUGACUGGAGGUAUGACUACUUGUAGUGUGGUAUGACUAGUUGCGUUUACCUGGGUAACUUAAAGGAUUCAAGGAGUCAGUUAUGACCCAGGGUGCAGGCUUGUAAUCACUUCCCUGUACAUUUUAUUAUGUUGGCCCCACCCAACCUGAGUUAAAGAAUACCAGUCAGUUGGCAGUUCUACCGGUCACACUAGUCCUGUCCCCAACCCCUCCCCCAGACAGACUGUGGUUUUUGUUGUGUGAUUGUGAUUGGUUCAGCUUCCCUUACUUGCGUGGCACAUCCUGUAACUGACUUACAAGCUCAACUGAGCUGCUCAUGGUGAAAAGAGACGCUCGACAUAAAAACUCCUUGUACAAUAACUAUUUAUUAUAGAAAAGAGUGUUUCUCAGCUUUAUCAGUCAUCCUAGGAAAAAAUAAGUGAGGAAAGAUUACUUCUUGCUAUAGUAUCUAUGUAGUUUACAGUUAUUGGAAAGCGUGUGGUAUCUCUUUAGUGAAAUAUCCUUUAUUUAUCCACCAACUGAAAAAUGCAUUUCUUAAAAACUAAUUAAAUGACAAGGUCUCUUGAAACAGACUGCUUCCAAAUGUAAUGUUUCACAGCUUUUAUUGCAUUCGGGUAGAAAAGUUGAUCCGGAUGAAAUUGUAAAACCUUCAAACAGACAACACAGACAUAGUCAAAUAACAAACAAGGACCUAGCCGAACCUAAUGUUUGUUUAGGGAGGGAGAAUUGCCCUGCAAAUAUGAAACCACACCUCUAUUUGUCCAUUUAGGGCCUUUAUCUUUGUUAUAGAUGCACUGAAUAGUUUGGUGUUUAUCAUAUUUUUUUAAUUUUUUUUUCCUUUCUCCCUUCCCCUUUUCACAUUGCAAUGAUUAAUGAGGUGUUGAGUUCAGGUUUCAUUUGCUCUGACAGAAAAAAGCUUUACAGAUCCCCCCCAUAGUUUCACCAUUGUAAUUCUCCUUGGCUAGUUAUAGAAAAAUAACCACCAACUUCUGUUCCAACAGCUUCAUACAUUUGUUCAACUGCUUAUUAUGUGGGUUGUGUUCCUCUAUUUGAUAAAGACAUGGUCUGUUUGUUUAGUAGAACAGUACAUACAGGACAUGCAGUGUCUUUUUCAGCCUGGCUCUCCCUGCAUUAUUCCCUUCCCCUGAGCUGUCUCUCUCUCCUCUAUGUACAGGUGAAAAGCCAGAGGUCAUCUUCUUCAGUUCUCUUUAGCCUGUUGAUUGGCGUCUUACCAGACAUGGUUAGAUCUAAUUAUCUGUGUCUAAUACUGUCUGGUAAUGCCGUCCAUUGAGAGCGCGUUACCUUCCACUCUUUUUCCCUUUCUCCUUCUUGAGCAGAAGUGUUCAGGAUGUCGAUCUCAGCGCUGACAUUUACAUUUAUUUGAUGAAGUGACAAAUGGUGACAGGACAUGACGGUGAUGAAGAAGAUUACUCUUAAGAAACUGUUAACUUUGCACUGGCAGAUAACUUUGCACUUACAUAUAUCCAGAAUAGAUAAGGCUAGAAUAAAAAUCCAAUAAAACUCAGACCUUGUGUAAGCUCUGUACGAUCCGCUGUGUUCCUCACCUGUGUUCUGUGUGUUGUGGCCUUGAAGUGUUGUCCGCACAUGUAAAGAAUCUGUUUUAGUGCACUACUUUUGAGAUCCUGAAAUGAAAAGCUUGUUAUUGUAUGUAUCAAAUGUAUUGUCGUGUUAUUUUGGGGAUAUUUCAAAAUCAUUUUGCGUUCCCUCAUGAAUUGUGUUCUCUCAUUCUGAGUUGUCUUAGUAACUGAAUUCCACCUGUGUUUGGACUUUUUUCCCGGGUUUUCUCUUUUCUUGUUAAAUCCUCCCCUAAAAUAAGGAAAUAUUUGAAUGCUUACCAAAUGUAGUGCAUGCAAUUUCACUGUGACUUUAUGUAACAUGCAAACAUCAAAUAAACAUGAAAUUAAAAUAAGAUAAAUCCA